AGGAUGCUGCGAUGCAUGCGUUCCCGUGUCUUGUACACACCGCCAGUCACACCACGGGAGUUGGAGACGCCCGAAGCCGAUUAUCUAACCUUUUGGAAGAAGUCGUCGAAGGUGGAACCAAUAACGGGGGUGAAGUCGUAACAAGGUAGCCGUAUCAGAAGGUGCGGCUGGAUCACCUCCUUUCUAAGGAGA
rnacentral:rRNA from 1 species